UGUAAGUCGCGUCUUAUUUUGUUCCGUGUAAAUGGCCCUAUUGUGUAUUCCAGACCAAAAAUAUUGUCGUCUAUUUCCACAUGAACUUGGUGCGUUAAUUCAAAAAUUUUAGUCAUAGCCGACUGGUACUGGUAAUUAUUAUUAAGCUGGUAAGACUCAAAAUGUUUGUGAUGUUAGUCUGAGUGUGCACCGGGCACUCAAAGUAACAUCACAAACAUAUUCACCUGAGUACACAACACCAACACACACAAAAUAAGACUCAAAAUGUACUUAGUCUUACAUGAAGUACAUAUAAAGUACAGGUUUGUGAAAGGUACCAUAGUUACCUAUCCGUGAUUCGAACAAUAGGGUUAACUGGAAAUUGCUAUUAGUGGAUUUGGCAAAAAUACAAUACACACGUGACGGUAAAGGACCAUAUUUAUGAAUAAACGUUCACUAAAAUAA